rnacentral:rRNA from 1 species
UAGGGAAUUUUUCACAAUGAGCGAAAGCUUGAUGGAGCAAUGCCGCGUGAACGAUGAAGGUCUUUAAGAUUGUAAAGUUCUUUUAUUUGGGAAGAAUGACUUUAGCAGGUAAUGGCUAGAGUUUGACUGUACCAUUUUGAAUAAGUGACGACUAACUAUGUGCCAGCAGUCGCGGUAAUACAUAGGUCGCAAGCGUUAUCCGGAUUUAUUGGGCGUAAAGCAAGCGCAGGCGGAUUGAAAAGUCUGGUGUUAAAGGCAGCUGCUUAACAGUUGCAUGCAUUGGAAACUAUUAAUCUAGAGUGUGGUAGGGAGUUUUGGAAUUUCAUGUGGAGCGGUGAAAUGCGUAGAUAUAUGAAGGAACACCAGUGGCGAAGGCGAAAACUUAGGCCAUUACUGACGCUUAGGCUUGAAAGUGUGGGGAGCAGAUAGGAUUAGAUACCCUAGUAGUCCACACCGUAAACGAUAGAUACUAGCUGUCGGGGCGAUCCCCUCGGUAGUGAAGUUAACACAUUAAGUAUCUCGCCUGGGUAGUACAUUCGCAAGAAUG